GCUAAAAGACUAGAGAUGACAAUGGAAAAAUUUAGUUCUUUGAAUCUGAAUGUCAGAUCUAACUCUUUUGGCAUU
rnacentral:pre_miRNA from 1 species